AUCUAGCUGAAAAGUUCCAAAUAGGACUAAACAGGCGUCCUGGAU
rnacentral:hammerhead_ribozyme from 1 species